rnacentral:rRNA from 1 species
AUUGAACGCUGGCGGCAUGCCUUACACGUGCAAGUCGAACGGCAGCACGGGGCAACCUGGUGGCGAGUGGCGAACGGGUGAGUAAUGCAUCGGAACGUACCUUUCACUGGGGGAUAACGUAGCGAAAGUUACGCUAAUACCGCAUAUUCUGUGAGCAGGAAAGCAGGGGUUCGCAAGACCUUGCGCUGAUUGAGCGGCCGAUGGCAGAUUGGCUAGUUGGUGAGGUAAAGGCUCACCAAGGCGACGAUCUGUAGCGGGUCUGAGAGGAUGAUCCGCCACACUGGGACGGGAACACGGUCCGGACGCCUGCGGGAGGCAGCGGUGGGGAAUUUUGGAAAAUGGGGGCAGCCCUGUGCCAGCCCUGCCGGGUGAGUGAAAGAGGCUGUCGGGUUGUAAGGCGCUUUCGGCCGGGAAGAAAUCGCACGGGCUAAUACCCUGUGUGGAUGACGGUACCGGAAUAAGAAGCACCGGCUAACUACGUGCCAGCCGCCGCCGUAACAC